UUCACCACCACUUUCUCACCCGUGCAAUUACGGUUGCUUUAACCUUUGUCUUUACUCUUUCCGUUAAAGAAAGUUCAAGUGUAGUCUUAUCAGCAACUUUUUGGACUUGAUUCAGAGAAUUUUUGGACCCAUUGGUGAGCUCGUAGAAGGGUUAUGUACAAAGAGAAAUGCCAUACUCUAAUGAGGAGUUAGAAGAAACUCGAGAACAUUGGGCAAAAUAUUUUAAGGACAACUAUUUGAUGGAUGCCGGCGAAUGAGUUUGUUGUCUAGUAAUGUUAUGUUUUAUGUUUUUGUUAUGUGUUGGAUAUGACGUUUGCUACUUGGAGCAUAUAUAUGGUUUUUGGAACAUAUAUGUAUGUUAUGUCUUAUAUACAGGUCUUUAUAAAUUCCCGUUUUGUUCGGGUUUCGCAAAUUACAAGGGAAACUAUGGCAAAUUUUUUGCAACCUAUUAAACUAUUUAUAAUGUUUUUAUUAUAA